GGUGUGAUAAGUGAUUUUUUUUAAUUUUUUACAAGCGCGACUCGUGUUUCUUCCACCAACGCUUCAACGAAAAAACCCUUUCUCAUUGUGCCGCUUCCACGAGAAAACAAAACCCUUAUCUCAGAAUGUGUUCAAAAUGGGAAACUCUUCAAUCUCUCUAUCAAUUGAAGAUUCACAAUUUCAUUCCACUCUUAAUCUCGAUCUCAAUCUCAAUCAGAGUCUUAGAUCAAAUAAAAAACUUAUUCAACAUGGUUCAGAGUCGCUUCAAUCCCAUUCUCGUUUGAAGAUUAACGAGUCAACCUCUUUUGAAGAUUCACAAUUCAAAUCCAUUUUCAAUUCAAAAUUGCUCUCAACUCCUUUCUCGACUUAUCUGCUAGCAGACUCGGUGUACCAUUCUUUGUUGCAACACAAGUGGUGGUACCUGUGUUGGUACACAAUUCGUCAAAAUAAACCCUCACUCUAAUUUUGUGGAUGACUUUAAUUGUUCGGAGUUUUGACUUGAUUCAAAACAGAAAAUUAACAUAUCAACAAUCGUCAAGGAAUAAAUAAACAAUUGUGGCAAUGAGCGAAGAAGGCAACCCGAAAAGACACUUCUAGACAACAUUGAAUAGUUGUUUUUAGUUGUCUAUUCAAUAAGAAAGGAAAGCUUCUUGAUUUGUCCAACAGCUCAAUACAGAUAAGAAAAUAUGGUUUCUUGAAUAGUAUGAUAUUUCCCAAAUUUUCCUACUUUAUCCGGUGCUAUAAUACAUUGAUAAAAAAUUUCUUAUUUCAAUAUGCAUUUUUUAAUACUAGAUCACUAGUGUAAACCAAUCUAUAUCAUGUAUCUACUUCAAUUUUUAUUUGAACAAUUGCUUCUAUAUAUUAUCUUGGUUUUUUGAAUGAGGUGGAGAUUAUGAAUAUCUAGUUAACUCCAAUUUAGUUUUAUAUUUUUAUAUUGUAGAUUCAUUAUCUUGGUCUAACCAGCAAUUAUAUAUAUAUAUAUAUAUAUAUAUGCCUUCUAGUUAGUUGCAGACAACUUACGCAUUUUGGUUCCUCGGAGGGGGAUUCAAGAAGAAAUGUGAUAUGGAUGGACUUCAAACCUGUAGAUCGUGCUCAAAGAGUUAAUAACAGUAACUCAUACAUAUUGGAAUAUUAUGGUGGAGUUGUUUCAUCUGAAACAUAACCUUUGUUUCAUCUCUUGUCAUCAAUGUAAUGUCGUAUCAAUGGAGGGUAAUUUAAGACUUUCUUAUAAAUGGAUGUGAAGCUGCCGAAGAAAUCACCCAAAAAGCAAAUAGGAUGGAAAAUCAUAAUAUGUAUUGGAUAAAUUUAAAAGGGAUUAUAGUUUCUCUGGUAUAUGACUAGUCAGACACAACAAUUUUUUAUACGAUUUUAUCAUUUGCAUAAUGUACAAACUUGUGAUGUUCAACCUUGUUAUGGUAUCUUCGAAGUCUCCGAGUAAA